ACAAGAUGGAUUGGAUGGAUGCAAAGAAAUGUAUAUUUUUAGUUAAAUCCUUCUACAAUUUCCUUGGACAAGAAAGGGUAGAAGAGUUUUUUAUGAGGGUUAUUUGGAAUGCGACAGCUUCAACCAAAUUAGGAUAGGCUGCAAAGGAUUGGUCUAUGGUGGAUUGGCUUUUUCUUUGUAAGGAAGAUGAAGAGUCAAUAGAUCACAUCCUUUUGCAUUGUGCUAGAGCUAAAGUAUAAUGGAAUUUGGUGUUUUCCUUUUUUGGGAUUGCCUUGGUGAUGUCAAGUUUGGUAAGAGAAUUCAUUUUGAGAUGACAUGGUUCUUUUGUAGGGAAAAAGUGAAAGAACGUAUGGAGGCUUAUCUUGUUGUGCGUUUAUUGGUUUUUGUGGAAAGAGAUAAACUAGAAAGCAUUCGAAAGCAAAGAAAUGUCUAAUCAAAUUCUUAAGUCCUCUUUUCUUUGCAACCUUUUGUUGUGGGUUUGGAUGCAUAUAGAUGAGGUUUUUCUAAACUAUGUUAGAUUUUGUUGAUUGGUUGGGGUCUUCAUGAAGGGACUUUUGUUUUUUAAGCCCCUUGCUGUUUUUGCUUUGCCUCUUGGCAUGCUUUGUAUACAAUUUGUAUACUUUGUUGUGGCUUUUGUUAAGUGCUAUAAAUAUAUUUUUUUGGU